AUCUUUUCGGUGUCAGGCACGGAAGGUUUUGAACCUUCAUGAGGGGUAAACCCAAAAGAUU
rnacentral:tRNA from 1 species